GAUCUCUCCAAAGACAUCCGAUAAAAUUGGAAUGAUACAGAGAAGAUUAACAUAGCCCUUGCACAAGGAUGACAUGCACAAAUCGAGAAAUGGUCCAAAAUUAA